rnacentral:rRNA from 1 species
AGAGUUUGAUCCUGGCUCAGAACGAACGCUGGCGGCGUGGAUAAGACAUGCAAGUCGAACGGGAUUUAGUUUGUAGCAAUACACGCUAGAUUCAGUGGCAAACGGGUGCGUAACACGUGAGCAAUCUGCCGGGAAGUGCGGAAUAGCUCGCCGAAAGGAAUUAAUGCCGCAUGUGGCUAGGGGGGACAUCCCUCUGAAGCUAAAGUCGCAAGACGCUUCCUGAUGAGCUCGCGGCCUAUCAGCUAGUUGGUGAGGUAACGGCCCACCAAGGCGAUGACGGGUAGCUGGUCUGAGAGGACGACCAGCCACACUGGAACUGAGACACGGUCCAGACACCUACGGGUG